UCGAGGGGCAGCACGAUGUAGCAAUACAUUGGUGGCGACCGGCGCACGGGUGAGUAACGCGUAUGCAACCUACCUAUCAGAGGGGAAUAACCCGGCGAAAGUCGGACUAAUACCGCAUAAAACAGGGGUUCCACAUGGAAAUAUUUGUUAAAGAAUUAUCGCUGAUAGAUGGGCAUGCGUUCCAUUAGAUAGUUGGUGAGGUAACGGCUCACCAAGUCCACGAUGGAUAGGGGUUCUGAGAGGAAGGUCCCCCACACUGGUACUGAGACACGGACCAGACUCCUACGGGAGGCAGCAGUGAGGAAUAUUGGUCAAUGGGCGAGAGCCUGAACCAGCCAAGUCGCGUGAAGGAUGAAGGAUCUAUGGUUUGUAAACUUCUUUUAUAUGGGAAUAAAGUGAGGAACGUGUUCCUUUUUGUAUGUACCAUAUGAAUAAGCAUCGGCUAACUCCGUGCCAGCAGCCGCGGUAAUACGGAGGAUGCGAGCGUUAUCCGGAUUUAUUGGGUUUAAAGGGUGCGUAGGUGGUUAAUUAAGUCAGCGGUGAAAGUUUGUGGCUCAACCAUAAAAUUGCCGUUGAAACUGGUUGACUUGAGUAUAUUUGAGGUAGGCGGAAUGCGUGGUGUAGCGGUGAAAUGCAUAGAUAUCACGCAGAACUCCGAUUGCGAAGGCAGCUUACUAAACUAUAACUGACACUGAAGCACGAAAGCGUGGGGAUCAAACAGGAUUAGAUACCCUGGUAGUCCACGCAGUAAACGAUGAUUACUAGCUGUUUGCG
rnacentral:rRNA from 1 species